CAGAGGGGCGAGGAAGAGGGGAUAUCAUAAUCCCGUCAGAAUCAGCGCACUCCUCCCUUUGUCAAUCUACAAUCAAUUAGUGACCACUGGAGCUCCAGAGCAGUGGGCUUCAACAUCCUGCUACCAAAGUUGCUGAGUGGAAAGAGCUCAGGCAGGAUGGCGUGGGGGCAUUCCAGCAAAAAAUAUACUGAAUGGCUUCCAUCUGUGAUGGAUGAUUCCAUCAUUGAAUGCUUUGAAGAGUUGUUCACUUGUGGUCUUCUGUAUGAACUGUCUUUCUACUAAAUCCAUCAACAAACCUAGCUGAAUUAUUAGGAACGGAAAGGACACCGGAGGUGAAGUUUAUUGACCACUGGGGAAGACAGGGAAUGGCACAAGGAGUGGUAAAAACCGGAAAAACUGCAGAUGCUGUAAAA